ensembl:lncRNA
GUCCUAGGAUUAACAAAUCACUCCUACUUCCCCAGCCAGUUUGCUACUGCGCACUCUCAGUUAUGUUUGUUUGGUUUUUUUUGGUGCCGGGGAUCGAACUAGGGUGCUUGAACUACUGCAUACUCUCAAUCAGCCUGAGGUCCAGCUUGGCUGUUCUAGGACAUCAUAUGAAUACAAUCAUACAAUGUGGACUCUGGGCAAGGCUUCCACCACUCCUCCUGAUGUUUCUGAGAUUCAUCCAGGUUCCUGCAUAUCUUUGUGUCUUCACCGCCUACAAAGCUCUGGUUCUCAAUCAAGUGCUCUCAGCGAAAGCCUCCUGAGUGCUGGCUGGGAUUGCAGUGUACUCCACCAUGCCCACCUGCAGCAUUCAGACUUCUUGAAAAACCCAGCCUGGACUAAAACUAUGCUGGCCUCUAUAGAUGACCAGAGAAGAUGCAAGAUCAGAAAUGUUCACAUUUUAUUCUUUUCUUUUCUUUUUUUCCACAAUCUCUAUGAGGAUGAGAAGUAACUGAAGUGGCCUCUUGAUUUAGAACAGGAUUGGGAUGUUCCCUAGUUUCAGUUGUUCCCUUUCAGACCACUAUUCCAAGAACAGACAGAAUGUGGUUGGAGCGUGGGUGGAGGUGGCAGGUACUUACAAAUGCUCUGUCACAUUUUUCACACAAAAGUCAUUGACUAUGAGAUAGGGAAAAUGAGAUUCAUAGAAAUGUGUUGGAGAAAAGUUCCAUUAAGUGCCUCAUAAACUUAAUGGCUAUUGUUUUGAACUACCUGACAGAUUUCCUGGCAUGGAGAUUGCCAUGAGGCUGAAUUUCUUGUCUUAAUGAGAACCAUAAUUAGCAUUCAGAUAGCUCCCAGGCACCUCUGAAAGUGGCAUCAAAACAGAGUAGAGUGUUGCUCUUAAAAAUCAGCUACUGUGAAGCGCUCCAUUUACCAUGUGUUUAUUACGUGUCUUCACCCAUGUUGAGUGAUUAUUACUUUAGCUGUUUUAUUUAAUUAUUUCAACAAAUCACCUUGAACAUAUGAGCAAAAUUAACAAAAUCAUGGGUGUAUGUAAUUUAUGAUUUUAUCAUUUCUCUGACCUUUGUUGUUUUAUAAACAUGCUUCAAUCUCAUUGUUUGAAAAUCAGUAGCUCUCCCUCUCUCUCUCCCUCUCUGGUGCUGGGGACCCAGGGCCUUACACAGGCUAAGUACCAGCUCUACCACUGAGCAACGUCUCUGGACUCAUUCAUUUUUCAAUUACUGUGUUUUUUUUCCUAGGUCAGUAUAAUGUAAACGAUUUAUUUAUAAAUAAAUAUGCUAGAGUUUGAGUCUCCCACAAGUUCACGUGUUGAAAACUUAAUCCCUAAAUCCGUGUUGAUGGAUCAGGGUGGUGAGAGGUGAUUAGGAUCAGAUGAGGUCUUGGAUGUGGGGCCUCAUGAUGGUGUGAAUGGCUUUAUAAGAGGUGGAAAGGAGCCUUGGACCAGUGCUCCUGCCCUGUCCUGCUGUGUUGACCACCAUCUUAUGGUGCAGCAAGAAGGCCCUCACUGUCACCAGACAGCAACACUUUAAAAGUACACUCUCAAAGCAAUAGAGUGCAAAGCUGGGUACAUUUAGGGUGCAACUGGGGGUGGCAAUCUGUAGAGCUUAUAAGUGUAUGGAAAGAGGAGGUGGAAGGUUAUGGUGCUCUUGGUAGGGAGGAGUGCUGACCUAGUCCCAGGUGAUCCUCCAGACCAUUGGGGGAUCUGUGGCCAUCCAAAGGGAAAAGUCCAUUUUGCAAGUGAAAAGGAAUGGCUGAGGUCCUUUUACAAGUGAAGGGAAAUGGCUCAGGGUUUUUGAGUCUUGGGAGAAAAAUUUUUAAAACUAGGUUUGUAUCCUGAAGCCAGAGUUCUUUUUUUGGGGGGGGGGGUACCCGGGAUCAAACUCCGGAACUUGCGCUUGCUUGUGAGGUAGGCAGUGGAACCAGUGGGCUAAAUACCCGGCCCCAGAGUUCUUAUUUUUAAAAUUAUGAGUUUCCUUGUCUCCUUUCACCUGUCUUUAUUUCUUCUUUCCUACCUCAUCGCUGGACCUUGGCACUGUGCUUGUGGACUCACUAGUCUCCAGAACAGUGAAUGAAAUAAACCUCUAUUCUGUAUAAAUUAUCCAGUCUCUGGUGUUCAGUUAUAGCAGCAGAAAAUGGACAAUGGAAAUCGCAAAAUAUGAUAUCUGAAAUACACAGGGAAAUAAAUCACAUUAAAUUUGUUAUCUAGUAUUAUUUGUGUUACAAAUUUGUAUUAUAAAACAUUGUUUUGAAACAAUGUGUCUCUAUGUGUAAAUACCGAAUAGUUUCUCUAGUGUGAGAAACUGAAAGUGUAGUUAAGGAUACACACGGAUGAAAUGGCCUAAUAACAUACUUCUCGGAUUGUGUUUCCAUCAGGUGUCAUAUGACUGUAUCGAAAUUUAAAUUAGGGAGAAGUUUGGCUUAUGUGGAGUCUGCUAACUAACUGGAGUUUUUUUUUCCAGAUCAUUAUUUGUUCAAUGUUGGUUUUAGGGACCUUUCUGAAACAAAUCACAUCCUCUGGUGUCUUGUUGGUGCUUGAGAUGCUUUUUUAAGUUAUAUGGAAAAAUGUUUAAGUGCUUUUCAGUUCUGUUUUGGUUGAGUUCUACUGUAUUUGAAUAUUAUUGUAGUUUUUUUCCCCUUGCAUUGUUCUUCUUUGAGUGGUUUUAAUUUUUUGUAUGU